rnacentral:rRNA from 1 species
ACUACAAUGGCCGGUACAACGGGAAGCGAAGCCGCGAGGUGGAGCCAAUCCCAUCAAAGCCGGUCUCAGUUCGGAUUGCAGGCUGCAACUCGCCUGCAUGAAGUCGGAAUUGCUAGUAAUCGCGGAUCAGCAUGCCGCGGUGAAUACGUUCCCGGGCCUUGUACACACCGCCCGUCACACCACGAGAGUUUACAACACCCGAAGUCGGUGGGGUAACCCGCAAGGGAGCCAGCCGCCGAAGGUGGGGUAGAUGAUUGGGGUGAAGUCGUAACAAGGUAGCCGUAUCGGAAGGUGCGGCUGGAUCACCUCCUUU